CUGCGUAGAUGCCCAUAGAAGCAGAGGAGGCAGGGAGGCCACAGCCGGCCUCGGGCCUCUCGUGGGCUGCAGGCCUGGGCGCCCACAAGGAACUCAUCUGGGUGCUGCACGUUCUUCACGCCCCCGCUCUGCAUGGGCUUCGUCUUCAGCACACUUGAAAUCGCAAGUGAAGUGGCUCAAGGUCAUCUGGCGUUCAGCUUCUCAGCAUGCCGUGUGGUGUUCGCUGCAGAGCACACCCCCAGCUGCUGACACGGUCACUAGGCAGUUUCCCUGGUGACUGCUAAAGCCGACCUGGAAUGCGCUCUCUGUCUCCAGUGCAGCUCUGGCCAAGGACGCUCAAAAAAUCGCCCUGGCGAGUCAAACUGACCAGAGACUGGCCAAGGGAAUCAGAGGAGGUGCACAGGAACGCUCCCAUCACACCACAGAAAACUGAGCAUCCGGAAUCACUUCACCCUCCUUCCCAUGACCAGCCACCCUCCCCGGAGAGACUCCUGUGUCCAAGUCGGAGAGCACUUGGGAGCACCCCAGGACCCUGAACCAGACCUGGGUUGUGUUUCUGGGUGCCGCCAAGCCAGCAGUCUGGGGAUGGAGCUGCCACAGGAGGCCAGGGCAGGUGGCUCUUUGGAGAAGUGCCAGGGAGACGGACGGAGCACCCCCAGAACACUCACUGUCAGCCUCUGCUAACCUGCUGGGUACCCAACGUUUUCUGGAACCAGCUGUGUUCACUUGUCCCCAGUUUGGUCUCCCAGGAACACAGCAGCUAGAUGCACCUCCCGGUGGCCACACACCUGCACCCUUAUGCCCAGUGUGAUGCGGACAUCUGGGAGCGUGCCUCCAAACACCACAGAAGCCUGGGAUCACUGUGUAAGAAUGCUCUGACACAGAUUCUGAAUGCGUGGUGCUCUGCGCUCCUCCACCCCCACCUUGCUCUGACACCCAGCCCAGGACAGGCUGCUGAGCCCUCCUUAGAGAUCCCGACUUGGCUUGUCACCACCCCCCAGCCCCCACCCCCACCGCCGUGCCUGCUAUGUGGAUCUGGCUGCACUCCUCCUGCAGAUCCGUGGCCCUGGACCAGUGAGCCGUGGCUGGAGCUCCAGCCAGAGAGGCCUGGAUUUCUCUCCUGAAUCAGGGAACAGGCCCUGGCAGCUGUGCGGAGGGCCAGGAAGACGGGAGCUGGUGGCGGGAAGGCUGCAGAAAGGGCAGAGCACCUCCGUAGGGAGCUGCGGGAAGCACCUGUUUCCCCCCUCCCCAAAGUGUGGUCAGGGGCUGGGUGGAGAAAUCAGCCCUACAAGCCCCCUGGAGCGACUAGUGUCCUGAAUCUCUACAACCACAUUUAUUCCAAGGCUCUCGACAAGGAAGUCCCCAGCUAGAGAGACCCUGCCACCCAGACCUGUGCAUCUGAUCCUGGCGGGGCUUACAGAUGCUUGAGGACCCAAGGCUGAGAGCCCCGCAGCAAUCCUGAUCCCAUCACUGCUGGUCACAAUGGAGUCCUGAGCCUCACGAGCCCCCUGCUCUGUACGGCCCCGAAAGGCUGUUUAUUAAUAAGACCCCUGGGUUCUCACCCCAGACUCAGUGAAUCAAAGUCUUCAGACCUGGAGCCCCAACUCUGUGUUUUUAAGGGUCCCCAGGAAAUUCUGAGGCACAGACUGGGGUGGGGACCACGGAGCCUGGUUAGCCCAUCAUGUCCAGAUAUGGAGAGGCCCCUGCAAGGUGUCUUGCUGAAGCCACACAGCUCUUAGCGACAGUUGUGGCUGGGCUCUUUCCUCCCCAAACAAGGUGAAAUCCCCAGGUAAGACCCUUCCUUGCAGUCAUGCUGGCACGAGGGUGCUGAUCCUUCCCGGUGCUCCUGGGGAACGCAGUUGACAUUUAUUUAGUAUUUGAGCUAGGCCCUUGGACGUUGCCCUUUUAACCACACCCCGGUGGAGGCACACAAUUAUGUAUAUAUUAAAAGUUUUUAAUCAUGCAAAAGGAGGACAGAAAGACACUCCUGAGACAGACUUUCCAUUUCUGGCUGCAUGAUCAAUUUCCUGUCACUGGAUGUGGUUCCCGGCUCACCUCCCUAAGGCUCAUACCAGGAGAAAGCUGGCGCUGACAAGCAUUCUCUGAAAAGGAGAGUUCGUUUCUUCUACUCUUGAGCCUCAAAGGAGCCAGCAUGCAGACAGGGACACUUGGGUGGCUCGGUGGUUGAGCAUCUGCCUUCGACUCAGGUCGUGAUCCCAGGGUCCUGGGAUCGAGUCCUGCAUUGGGCUCCCCAGAGGGAGCCUGCUUCUCCCUCUGCCUGUCU